UACCGCGCACUUGAGCACUUCGAGCACUGACUUUCAGUGUUCGAAGUGCGCCACUGAAAAAACCAGCAGAAUUCAGUGCACUGAAAGUACCCGGAUGGUGCACUGCAAACGGGCAAAAAAUGUAGUGUAAAACGAUGGACACUACUCGCCCUAAGCGGCCGCCAUCUUGGCGACGUAGCGGAAGAGGAGGAGCCCUUUCGCCAGCUUUUCAUUUUAUUUCUAAAACAAUGGCGGACAGCACAAGCAGUAGACCACGAAGCUACAGACCGUAAAUAGACGUUUCCUGGAGGUGCUGGUCCUCUGCUGCCCUCCCGACAUCUGCAUCUGGCUCCAAUGACCUCUGGCACCUCACAUCCACCUCCAGGGCCUUUAAGAAGAUGGACCGCCAUCGCGUCUUCAGUAUCCAGAAUAGCCCAGCGGCAUAGUAAAAAAUACGAAACCAAUUGUUCAAAUUGUUCUAAAAGCACCAAAAUUGGCACACAUGUAGAUUAAUACAUUCUGAACAAUUUUGGAUAUGGAGGCAUUCAAGAUUCUCCCCGUAGCACAUUUAGCGGCCAUUUUUUGAAAAUGGCCGCUAUUUACCAUUAGCGUCAUUGAAUAUGUACCAUAAUUUGUCUUUUUGUGGAUGCUAGAGGUGAUAAGUAGUGUACAAUUACACAUACUUGUGUGCUUACCAAAUAAAAUGGCUACCAUUUUACAAGAAAAAUGAAUUUUACUUUGCAGCGGCAGCGGUGGUGGCAGUGAUGGCGGCUGCAGUAA